GGGAUUGUGCCAGCCGCCGCGGUAAGACAGAGGUGCCAAGCGUUAGGCGGAAUCACUGGGCUUAAAGCGUGUGUAGGCGGAUGCCUAAGUACCUUGUGAAAUCCCACGGCUCAACCGUGGAACUGCUGGGUAUACUGGGCGUCUUGGGUCACCUAGGGGUUGCCGGAACAAAUGGUGGAGCGGUGAAAUGCGUAGAUAUCAUUUGGAACGCCAACGGCGAAAGCAGGCAACUGGGGGUGUACCGACGCUGAGACACGAAAGCCAGGGGAGCGAACGGGAUUAGAUACCCCGGUAGUCCUGGCCCUAAACGAUGUCCACUAGAUCGUGGCGGCUCUGACCGUCAUGGUCGAAGCAAAAGUGCUAAGUGGACCGCCUGGGAAGUACGGUCGCAAGGCUAAAACUCAAAGGAAUUGACGGGGGCUCACACAAGCGGUGGAGCAUGUGGUUUAAUUCGUAACAACGCGCAGAACCUUACCUGGGCUUGACAUGCUAGGAUUAUCCCGGUGAAAGUCGGGUACGCCCCGCAAGGGGUGGAACUAGUACAGGUGCUGCAUGGCUGUCGUCAGCUCGUGUCGUGAGAUGUCGGGUUAAGUCCCUUAACGAGCGAAACCUUUACCCUUAGUUACCAGCGGGUCACGCCGGGGACUCUAAGGGGACUGCCGGUGUCAAACCGGAGGAAGGUGGAGAUGACGUCAAGUCCUCAUGGCCUUUAUGCCCAGGGCCACACACGUGCUACAAUGCGGCGCACAAAGCGAACCUAAACAGCGAUGUCAUGGAAAUCGCACAAAUCGCCGCCCAGUUCAGAUCGGAGGCUGCGACUCGCCUCCGUGAAGUUGGAAUCGCUAGUAAUCGCGGAUCAGUACGCCGCGGUGAAUGUGUUCCUGAGCCUUGCACACACCGCCCGUC
rnacentral:rRNA from 1 species